UACGGGAGGCAGCAGUGGGGAAUAUUGCGCAAUGGGGGCAACCCUGACGCAGCAACGCCGCGUGCGGGAGGAAGGCACUCGUGUCGUAAACCGCUUUCAGCAGGGAAGACAUCGACGGUACCUGCAGAAGAAGCCCCGGCUAACUACGUGCCAGCAGCCGCGGUAAU
rnacentral:rRNA from 1 species